AACUUUCCCUGAAUCUCCUGACUAUGGUGGAGGAGUGUGGAUCCUGGAACUAAACUGAGGUGAUAGGGAGGAAAAGAGAGAAAUCAACAGUAAACGCUGCACAUCCUCUGUCUGGUAAAUGUGCAUCACUGAUUGUAUCCAAUCUAGAUUCAACCAGAGAGACGGAAGCAUUAAGAAUGACAUAGAAUAUGGAAUUUGCUAUAGGGAUUUGAGCUUCUACAUUUGCGGGAAGGAGCGAGUUGAACACUUAGGAACAGCUGUUGCUGCCGUGUCUGGUGGGGGGCCUGAGAGUGGCAGGACAAGCAGCCUGCCCCAGAAGUGGAAGAAACUGAAAGUGGAGUCCUGAGAGCUGAAUCUGCCGCAGGCCCGCGGGCCGCCCGGGAAUUAGGAAAGUUAGAGGGGAUCCACGCCCACAAGUGCUAUGGACUCUGAUCGCCCAACCAGAGCAAACCCAGAAGGACAACUCUCCAAGCCUUUCAAUCACUCCCACUAACCCGUAUUGUGGACACACUAUUGUGAGGCCUACUAAGGAUGUACUGCUGAUGACCUUUUGAAGAGUGGCUAGUGGUUGGCCCAUGUAGGCUGAGCUCAGCUGGUCCAUCCUUCUUGGACCCACAGACUCCCUGGGGCAUGUUCUUCUCAUGAUGAUGACUGCAACACAAGAGGGCAAGACAUCCUACACAAGCACAUUUCAAGAUUUUGCUCACAUCAUCUCUGCUAAAAUUCCUUUAUCCAAAGCAAGGAACACAACUGGUUCAAAUAAGCACAGGCCUCCAAAUAUCCAGAUCUAAAAAUGGAGUGUUCACCUCAAGCUCCUUAUUUAUCACUGCAAGAGAUUCUGGGGCUGGCAGCUAGUGACAUGAGCUGGAAUCCUCUUCCUGAAAUUGCUGUCUUCUUGGAUGGGCUCUCCACAUCUUCCACCACGAAGUAAAAACAAUUCUUGUGGGUGCCAGUGGACCUGCUCUGCAGACCCAGGCUCCUCUCCCAUGGAGCAUCCCAAGUCUGUCCUUAUGGGAAGAAGCAGGAGCCCUGUCUGGCUGUACCCCAAGCUGCUUUCUCUGGACCAAUGCUGUCAGCGAUAGAGGGAACCCUUCCACCAUCAUGUGAAGAAGCCUGGUCUAGCCUGCUGGAGGAUGAGAGAUCACAUGGAAUGAGGCCACAAUCGUUCCAGCCAAAGCCCCAGUAAUAGAAUUAAGAUCAUCCAAGACCAUGGCAUCCCGCCUGAGAAGUUCAGAUGAGAAGGGCCACCUGAACAACCAACAGAAUCUUAAAAAGUAAAAAAUGAGUGUUGCCACUAUGCAUCUAUUAGAAUGGCAGAAAUCGAAGACACUGACAACAACAAAUGCUGGUGAGGAUGUGGAGCAACAGGAACUCUCACUCACUGAAGAUGGAAAUGCAAAAUAGUGCAGCUACUUUGGAAAACAGCUACUUUGGCUGUUUCUUACAACACUAAAUAUGCUAUUAUUAUAUGAUCCAGAAGUUUUGCUCCUUAGCACUUACCCAAAAAAGUUGAAAACUUAUGUACACACAAAAACCUGCACAUGGAUAUUCACAGCAGUUUUUGAUAUGGUUUGGCUCUGUGUCCCCACAGAAAUCUCAUCUUGUAUUUGUAUAAAUUUAUGGGGUACAAGAGUAAUUUUGUUAGCAUGCAUAGACAUGCAUAGACUGCAUAGCUCCCAUAAUUCCCACAUGUUGUGGGAGGGACCAGGUGGGAGGUGAUUGAAUCAUAGGGGCAGGUCUUUCCUGUCUUGUUCUUGUGAUAGUGAGUGGGUCUCACAAGAUCUGAUGGUUUUAAAUAACAGGAAUUUAUCUGCACAAGCUCUUUUAUUUUGCCUGCUGCCAUCCACAUAAGAUGUGACUUGCUCCUCCUUGCCUUCUGCCAUGAUUGUGAGGCCUCCCCAGCCAUGUGGAACUGUAAAUCCAAUUAAAUCUCUUUCUUUUGUAAAUUGCC
rnacentral:lncRNA from 1 species